AAGUCGUAACAAGGUUUCCGUAUGUGAACCUGCGGAAGGAUCAUUAUCGAGUUUUGACUGGGUUGUAGCUGGCCUCCCGAGGCAUGUGCACGCCCUGCUCAUCCACUCUACACCUGUGCACUUACUGUGGGCUUCAGACGUCGUGAAGCGGGCUCUUUACGGAGCUUGUAGAGCGUGUCUGUGCCUGCGUUUACCACAAACUCUAUAAAGUAUUAGAAUGUGUAUUGCGAUGUAACGCAUCUAUGUACAACUUUCAGCAACGGAUCUCUUGGCUCUC
rnacentral:misc_RNA from 1 species